rnacentral:tRNA from 2 species
GGCUCGUUGGUCAAGAGGUUAAGACACCGCCCUUUCACGGCGGUAACAGGGGUUCAAUUCCCCUACG